AGUGAACGCUGGCGGUAGGCCUAACACAUGCAAGUCGAGCGACAGCACAGUAAGAGCUUGCUCUUACGGGUGGCGAGUGGCGGACGGGUGAGAAAUACAUCGGAAUCUACUUUUUCGUGGGGGAUAACGUAGGGAAACUUACGCUAAUACCGCAUACGACCUACGGGUGAAAGCAAGAGAUCUUCGGACCUUGCGCGAUUCAAUGAGCCGAUGUCGGAUUAGCUAGUUGGCGGGGUAAAGGCACACCAAGGCGACGAUCCGUAGCUGGUCUGAGAGGAUGAUCAGCCACACUGGAACUGAGACACGGUCCAGACUCCUACGGGAGGCAGCAGUGGGGAAUAUUGGACAAUGGGCGCAAGCCUGAUCCAGCCAUACCGCGUGGGUGAAGAAGGUCUUCGGGUUGUAAAGCUCUUUUGUUGGGAAAGAAAAGCAGCAGGUUAAUCCACCGCUGUUUUGACGGUACCCAAAGAAUAAGCACCGGCUAACUUCGUG
rnacentral:rRNA from 1 species